GGUGGUAUAGCAUAAUGGUAUUGCGGAAGUUUGCAAAACUUUAGGCGGUGGUUCGAUUCCACCUUCCACCUUCA
rnacentral:tRNA from 1 species